rnacentral:lncRNA from 1 species
GCAAAGCGGCGUCCUUCGAUCAGCGUCCGGAUAGGCCCGCGCGGGAGGGCGCGCGGCGCCGAACUCGCUUCCCGUCAGCCCCUGCGCGCCCGUCCGGCGGUUGCGCGCACGCUCGCGCUCCCGGAGCCCGCGCCUGCGCCUCGUCGCCAUUCGGGCCGCCACGCUGCAGGGCCUUGGAGCUGGCGGGCCCGCCAGCCCGGACGCCGCCCGCGGCCAGCCGGUGAGGAGCGGGGGUCGUCGUCGGCCCGGAGGCUCGCGCCCUGGGGCCCGAGGCAGCCCAGCGUCCGCCACGGGGACUCACCCCAGGCGCCGGGCGGGCGGGGGCUCCGGGGCGCCGGCGGCCCGCGUCAUCUCGGCGGGGGCGGGAAACCCCGGGAGGCCGGCUCAGGCUCGGCGAGGGGCGUUCCUCCGCCUCGGUCCCGGAUGGCGCGCUCCCCGCCCUCUGCGGGGCUUUUGUCCGUGGAGUCUAGGCGUCUGGGGCGGCGCGCAGGGGGAGGUGACCGUGUCUCCGGUUCAACUUCUCGUCUUUGUCCUUCUUCAUGUACUAUAGGCUAUUUUUUUGGUUUCGUCAAAAAGCCAUGUAGACUUGCCUGACCUUUGAAGACUGCUUUUAAGACUUCUCAUAAGACAGUUGGUGAGUCUGCUAGGGAAAAGCAUGUUGGUUUUUAUUUCUUGCCCACUCUAAAGGUAUUUGUCCUGGAUAAAGUGUUAUUCUACCAGCAUUACUUUGCAUAUAUUUUUGUUUACUUGUAACAGUUCUUGGCGUUUUUUUUCCCCCCGGAGGAAGAUUCAUCCUAAGCUAACAUCCAUGCCAGCCUUCCUCUAUUUUUUAGUAUGUGAGCCACCAGCACAGCAUGGCUUCUAACAGAGUGAUGUAGGUCUGCGCCCAGGAACCACACCCAGGCUGCUGAAGCAGAGCACGCCGAACUUAACCACUAGGCCACUGGGGCUGGCCCAACAUUUCUUUUUAAUGUUUAGGAAAAUAUUUUAUGAUAACACUUUUGGAAAGCGCUUGGGGUUCUUGAGGAAAAUCCCUAUAAAAGCAUACACACCCAUAUAUAAUGAUGUGUGAACACGUGCUAGAUAUGCAUAUAUCAAUAUAUACAGUCAGGUGCCACAUAAUGACGUUGAGGUCAACAAGGGACCGCAUGUGCAGCGGUGGUCCCGUAAGAUUAGUGCCAUAUGUAGCCUCGCUGUGUACUGGGCUGUACCGUCUAGGUUUGUAUAAGUACACUCCAUGGUGUUCACACAACGAUGAAGUCACCUAACAACACGUUUCUCAGAACAUAUCCCCAUUGUUAAGUGACGCAUGAAUGUACGAUGGGCUUUGAGAAUUGAACUUUGUAAUGUUCUUUUUAAUUUUUUUAAGAGGUUAUUAGAGUAUGUUAAUGAGGCUUGGUAGUAGGCAGGUGUGGGUAGUAAAAACUUUGAGAUUGGCCAGAAGAGUGGGUGGUAGGAAGAGGAAAGAGAGAGGGGCAGUUGGGAGAGAUAGGAGAUGAUACCAAAGUCUGAGGAGCCAUUGGGGUUUUUUACAGACUGAAGGGGAAUGGGAGUGGAUGAUGUAUUUACUGAGUGGCCCUAGAUGAAGAGAGAGCUGAUGAAUGUACGGAUUUAGCAGGCAGCAAUUAAGGACAAAAGGAGUCCAUCCAGUCGCAGAAGCUGAGGUGGCUGGAGGCUGCUCAAGGCAAGAGCAGUAGGAAUCAGGCCAAGUGGUAGUCAUUAGAAACAGGAACUAAUUUACAGGAGCAGCUGUAAAAUGUAGGGUUAAUAUAAAGUUUCCAAAGAGUCAGAAAAGGGAGAGAGACAGUCAAAGGGAAGUAGAGAUAAGGAGAAAAGUGCAAGGGCUUUGCGUCUGGAAAGGGGACACAGACUUGGAUUGCAUUCGGCAGAGGGGGCAGGUUAGAGAGGACCCGCUCUCCACUGUUGUCCUGUGUCCGAGACGCCGUUUAUGAGGUGUGGUCUUGUUUUAUUCUGGUUUUCAUUUGGUAAGUUUGCCAGAAGCAUGUUUAAUAAAACCUUCCUGGCUGUAGAACA